AUGCAGGUCACCUGGGGAUCUUCUUAAAGUGCAGAUUCUGAUACAGUAGGUCUGGGGUGGGCCAGGAUUCUUCAUUUCUAGCAAAUUCCCCAGUUAUGCUGAU
rnacentral:pre_miRNA from 1 species